AUCUAUGGCCAUACCAACUUGAAUGGCAGAUCUUAUCUGAUCUCAGAAGCAAAACAGUGUUAGGCCUAUUUAGUACUUGUAUGGGAGAUCAUUUGGGAAACCCUGUGCCACAGACU
rnacentral:rRNA from 1 species